rnacentral:rRNA from 1 species
UACGUAGGGUGCAAGCGUUGUCCGGAAUUAUUGGGCGUAAAGAGCUCGUAGGCGGCCUGCUAAGUCGAACGUGAAAUCCCUGGGCUCAACCCAGGAACUGCGUCCGAUACUGGUUGGCUUGAAUCCGGGAGAGGGAUGUGGAAUUCCAGGUGUAGCGGUGAAAUGCGCAGAUAUCAGGAGGAACACCGGUGGCGAAGGCGGGUCUCUGGGCCGAUAUUGACGCUGAGGAGCGAAAGCGUGGGGAGCGAACAGG